CAAGAACCCCUCGAGGGCUGUGUUGCCUGAUACCUGCCCACCCCACGAGAAACUGCUGGGUGCAGUCAUCAGCUUAGCACACUUCCACUUCUGUGGUUGGAGAGAAGUCUGAGAAAAGCCUGGAUCUUUCCCUCCCUCCAGGACCGCCCCCCAUCCUCUUCACCAAGGGAAACUUGUCCUGUGUAAGUACAGGACGAACCUGAGAAAAGCCUCGAAGAAAGAUGACAUAAGUUGAAAGUCACCUAAAACUGUCGUCUCAGCUCAACUCUGUAGAAGAAAUGGAAGGCUGGGGGCAGUGUGGAGGAGGGGAGGCAGAAGAGAGCCACAACAGAAAAGGAAAAGCCAAACGGGCAAUAAGUGUGGUCUUGAAGUUUCUAGACUGUCAAGAGUAUCCUCUAACCAAUCUACCAUUGUCUGUAUCACACCACCUUCCCUCUUCCUCCUUUGGGACGGAUGCAAAGAUAUGUAAUGAGAACAAAAGAGUUCCUCUAAGAUCAGCAACAGGGAAGAGAAAGGGCGUAUGCUAAGCUAGCAGGAUUCAUUCAAACUCCUUAUUUCAUUUUUAAAAAGGUGUUUUACUCCUUCAGUGAUUUCACCUACUACAUAUAUUGUCUCACUGACAAUAGUAACUACCCAUACUUUAAGAUUAAAGGACAAGAUUUUGUUUGUUUGUUUUUGUAGCUGGGGAUCAAACCCAGGGCUUCCCAUAUGCUAGGCAAGUGCUCUACCACUGAACCACAUCCCUAGCCCAAGACAAGAUUUUUGAUGUGUGUGUAAUAUUCCAUCCAGUGCAUGGUCCAGAAUUACCCCUGUGGCUAAAUUUUAAGAUUGUUUUUAAUAUUUUACUGGCAAAUUUGUUUUAUGUAAAAAUGUCUUAAUUCUAGGACUUUCUCUAUUUUUAUGGCCUCAGAAUCACUGAGUCUAAAUGGAAUAAACAAUAGGAGAAAAUUAAGACCUCACUUUUGAAUGACAGUAAGAAUGCUUUCUUUUAAGGUUGUUAGUUUAGCAGAGGAGCUAAAAGUUCUAGUGGAGGUAAAUUUACUUAUAUAACCACAUCCUAUUCAAAU
rnacentral:lncRNA from 1 species